UGGGCUUGACAUGCACCGGAAAGCCGUAGAGAUACGGCCCCCCUUGUGGUCGGUGUGCAGGCGGUGCAUGGCUGUCGUCAGCUCGUGUCGUGAGAUGUUGGGUUAAGUCCCGCAACGAGCGCAACCCUUAUCCUGUGUUGCCAGCGCGUAAUGGCGGGGACUCGCGGGAGACUGCCGGGGUCAACUCGGAGGAAGGUGGGGAUGACGUGUAACCGAAUCU
rnacentral:misc_RNA from 1 species